AUUGAACGCUGGCGGCAGGCCUAACACAUGCAAGUCGAACGAGUGGCGGACGGGUGAGUAAUGUCUGGGAAACUGCCCGAUGGAGGGGGAUAACUACUGGAAACGGUAGAUAAUACCGCCUACCAUCGGAUGUGCCCACAUGGGAUUAGCUAGUAGGUGGGGUAACGGCUCACCUCGGCGACGAUCCCUAGCUUGUAUGAGAAGAUGAACAGGCACACUUGAACUUAGAACCGGUCCAGACUCCUUCGGGAGGCAGCAGUGGGGAAUAUUGCACAAUGGGCGCAAGCCUGAUGCAGCCAUGCAGCGUGUAUGAAGGAGGCUUUCGGGUGGUAAAGUACUUUCAGCGGGGAGGCGUUACCCGCAGAAGAAGCACCGGCGAACUCCGUGCCAGCGGCCGCGGUAAUAC
rnacentral:rRNA from 1 species